GAUGAACGCUGGCGGCGUGCUUAACACAUGCAAGUCGAACGAAGCACUCAUGACAGAUUCUUCGGAUGAUGGAUUGAUUGACUGAGUGGCGGACGGGUGAGUAACGCGUGGGUAACCUGCCUCAUACAGGGGGAUAACAGUUAGAAAUGACUGCUAAUACCGCAUAAGCGCACAGUACCGCAUGGUACGGUGUGAAAAACUCCGGUGGUAUGAGAUGGACCCGCGUCUGAUUAGCUAGUUGGUGGGGUAACGGCCUACCAAGGCGACGAUCAGUAGCCGGCCUGAGAGGGUGAACGGCCACAUUGGGACUGAGACACGGCCCAAACUCCUACGGGAGGCAGCAGUGGGGAAUAUUGCACAAUGGGGGAAACCCUGAUGCAGCGACGCCGCGUGAGCGAUGAAGUAUUUCGGUAUGUAAAGCUCUAUCAGCAGGGAAGAAAAUGACGGUACCUGACUAAGAAGCACCGGCUAAAUACGUGCCAGCCGCCGCUGUAACAC
rnacentral:rRNA from 1 species